rnacentral:lncRNA from 1 species
UAGAAGAUGAAAUAAAUCUAUAUUUGUAAGGUUUUUUGUGCAGCUUCGGAAGCCAGUACAUAGUUGGGACUUUCAUUGUGUUUGGUUCUGCUUGUAAAGAAGUAGCUAAAAGUUUAUGUUUGUUACAGAUGUCGUUUUCUGAAAAUGAAGUCAGUUGGAAUGUUGGUGAAUUCGUGAUUUCCUUUUGCAAAACCUCUAUAUAAAAUUUACGUCAAACAAUAAUGAUAUUAUUAGCAGCUUUAUCAGCCG